GGAUGUGAGGGCGAUCUGGCUGCGACAUCUGUCACCCCAUUGAUCGCCAGAGUUGAUUCGGCUGAUCUGGCUGGCUAGGCGGGUGUCCCCUUCCUCCCUCACCGCUCCAUGUGCGUCCCUCCCGAAGCUGCGUGCUUGGUCGAAGAGGACGGCCUUCCCCGAAUAGAGACAAACCGGUCUUUGGUCGAGGUUAUACGAGUAGCUGCGCUCCCCUGCUAGAAUCUCCAAACAAGCUCUCAAAGCACAUACAUUGUCAAUUGUGUUAAAUACCAUUUUUGUGUAUGUUUAGCAUGAUUAAUCAUAUUUUUUUCAAUGUCAGGGAUGAUAUU
rnacentral:snRNA from 1 species